CCUUAAGCUCGUAGUUGAAUUUCGGGACCAUCAUGUCGGUCGUGCCUCGGUACGUACUGGUAUUGUUGGUUUCUCCCUUCUGACGAACCAUGAUGUCAUUUAUUUGGUGUUGUGGGGAAUCAGGACUGUUACUUUGAAAAAAUUAGAGUGUUUAAAGCAGGCUCACGCUUGAAUACAUUAGCAUGGAAUAAUGAAAUAGGACGUUUGAUUCUAUUUUGUUGGUUUCUAGGAUCGACGUAAUGAUUAAUAGGGAUAGUUGGG
rnacentral:rRNA from 1 species